ACCAUUAAGAGUGAUUGAAAGGUAAAGAGAUGAAGACAACAAACAAAGGCUAUUCUUCUAAGAAAUUUAUCAUGAAGAUAAGAAGAAAAGCAAUGAAAUGCAGAUCGACAUCUUCAUUUUGGACAUCUAGUCUCUAGAACUCUGGAACAAUAAAUUCCUGUUGAUUAUAUCACUCAGACUGUGGUACUUUGUUACAGCCCUAGCAAAACACUCCAGAGCAUCAAAAACCCUUAAAGUAAACUCCUACCUCUAAAUGUUCUAUUACAUGAGAAAAAUAAGCAACUAUUUAUUUAAACUAAACUACUGGUUGAAUCUUCUUUUUCUUAUAGUGGAUGGAAUCUCAGCUAGAUAUAAAUAGGCAAAAGAGAUCUAAAUAGGAGGAAAAUUUGAGUAAUUAAGGAGGUAAAAGCUAGGAAGAAAUGACUGGAUCAAGAAUUUCCAUGAGGUCAAAGGCAAAUAUAAAUUAGGUUUAGAGGUUAGACUAAAAUGGAAUUUAGAAUUCCAGAAGUGGAACAGUUGUAUGUAACAAUAAGAUAAUAGGUGUGCCCAUGGAUAUAGAUUGCUGUCAUCGGAUGAUAAUUAGUGAAGUUAAGGAUGUCAGGGAACUCUAAAGCCAGGUUGGUACAUUAUUAAAAGCCAUGGGCCCUGACAUCACACAUGAUGAUUAUAAUGUGAAGAGACGAGACUGAGACUAUAAAGAAAGACCAGGAGUGAGCUAACUUGAAUGAUACCAAGGAAGAUGAUAUAAUAUGAAGUAUAUCCUCAUCUGGUAAAGACAGACAGAACUCUGAAGUGGAAAGAGCACUUGUCAAGAUAUCAGGAGAUGACGGCUUUGUGAGUUCUGUCACUAACCAGUGUAUGUUCUUGACCAAAUAAUUUUACCUCUCUCAACCUUGGUUGCUCCAUCCACCAAACGAUAGCGAUCUGAAUUCGUCAGCUUCUUUUCUAUUAUGACACUUGAUUACUUCAUCACCAGAAGCUGAGCUCCCAGCUUGAGUAUGCAACAUGUCUGGACAUGUUUGGCUAAUUACUGUGGCAGCCAGCCUGCUGGCCAUUGCAGAAUGACCCAGAUGCUUCCUGAGAGAACUCAGGUUUAAGGAAGAGAAAACCAAACUCCAGGAGUCUGACAGCAACAAAGCCUUAGUUGACAGAAAGGUAAAUUCGUCCUCAUAUUUUAAAACCAGUUCAGAUCUCAUCUCUGGGAAGCUUUCCUGACUUUCUGAAGUACCUUCUCUGACUCCCACAGCACAUAGCAUGGUCUAAGAUCUCUACAGUGAUUCCCAGCACCAUAUAUAGUUCACAUAUGUAAGGGAGGGGAAAACUACAUCACUAUUUAAAACCAACACUGACUGCAGCCACUUCAGCCCCUAAGGAAGUGUAAAAUUUUUUGCAUAGAGUAGAAAGCCUUCUACUUAACAAAAUUGGUUCCUAGUCCAUUGUGGCUGUAAAAGGAGAGACCUCCAGAGUAUGAUUUGGAAUGGUUCAGUGAAACAAAGAAUAAAAUUGCCUUGCAUUCAAAAUGAGAAAGAAUUAAGGGAAUUGGAAGCAAAUUCCAAAUACAAGGACACUGUAGAGGGAGCAAAGGAUCAGACAACACCCACAUAUGGGAGGUCAUUAGCGCAAAAUCGGCCAGCUCCUGAUAGUAGAAUUGACCUAAGAAAUUCUAAAAAGAGAGUAACACUCAAGUUUAAUUAUUUUCCAUGUGUCCUUUGUCAUCACAUCACCUGAAACCUUUAAUAAUGCACACUACAUGCAUUAAUGCCUUAUGUUUCAUAGGAAAUCAAGAAAAGGGGACUGAAUUCCACAUACGGUCUGUGCAUGGCAUAGAAAAUAGGAUAGCCACGGAAGGCGAAAAACAAGUAAAAUCAAUUGUAGAAUGAGGUGACCAUGAGACUAUAAGACCAUAGAGUGUGAAACAACAACAAAACCUUGCCAAGGGCCAUGGGCUUCCUCUGGGAUAAGCAAUAAGUAUCUGAACAAUGUUUCUUAAAUGUCCAAGGAAAGGAGUUGUCAGGUACCAUCUGGUGUCCACCAGCUGACCUUGUGUUCCCCAUUACAAGAGUGAGUCCUUCAGGGUAGGGAAAUGUAUCUUAAACAUCAUUGCACCCUCAGUGCCUAGCAGAGUGUAUGACAUAUAGUAAGUAGUCAAUAAGUACUUGUUAAAUAAAUGGAUAAAUAUAUAAAGAAAUCAAUUCAUUUUUAUUAGGGCAAGAUGAGAUAGUGUCUUGGUGGUAUAAGAAAAGUAUCAAAAUGAAAAAAUGAAUGUGGAAACAGGAGAGCAGUAAAUUCAUAUUCAAAGACCUA